GCGUUUAGUUAUUCAAAAAAUCAUACUUCGCGUUCAAUAGCAAAUCUUGAGUGUGCUUAAAUAGUAAUUAUACACACAAAAAAUUGUUUAAAUUCUUCGUUUGGAUUUUCAAAUCGCGAUCGAAUAAAACGUGAAACGUUUAACAAACCACAAAAAUUAAUUGGAAAAACGUGUCACAAUCGCAAAUAAACCAAUAACACAGACUUAAGUACAUGCGUAUCAAAUUUAAAUAAUUGUAAAUUCAACAACAAAAAUAAAUGAAUUGGGUGAAAUUAAGUUUUUGGAACGCUCAUUCAUAAUAUAACAAAAACAAAGUGCAAUAAUUUACUUACUUAAAAAAAAUCAGUUCGAGUUUAAACCGCAAGUACUUUACAAAUAAUUGUGUGUGACUAGUGGAUUUUCAUUGAUUAAGCCAUUAGAGUUAUCCAUUCUUGUAAACACAUAUUUUAAUUAAAAAACUGCUAAAGAAAAACAAAAAAAACAGCUUCAAAAUGAGUUUGUGUGAUGCUAGCGCCGUAACCAUUCAAGCUACCCCUCAACAACAACACCAGAGCACACAAAGCAUAGCCGAUUAUUUGGCACAAUUGCUGAAGGAUCGCAAACAAAUGGCAGCUUUUCCAAAUGUAUUCAAUCACGUUGAACGUCUGCUUGAUGAAGAAAUUGCGCGAGUACGUGCCUCACUAUUUCAAAUAAAUGGCGUCAAGAAGGAACCACUCACGCUGCCAGAGCCCGAGGGCACCCCUGUACAGUUAAAUGAGAAAGUAUACGUGCCAGUUCGAGAACAUCCAGAUUUCAACUUCGUUGGCAGAAUUUUGGGACCACGCGGCAUGACAGCUAAGCAAUUAGAACAAGAGACUGGCUGUAAAAUAAUGGUUCGAGGCAAAGGCUCGAUGAGAGAUAAAAAGAAGGAGGACGCAAAUCGCGGCAAACCCAACUGGGAGCACUUGUCCGACGAUCUGCACGUGUUGAUCACCGUGGAGGACACACAGAAUCGUGCCAAAGUCAAAUUAGCUCAGGCCGUUGCCGAAGUGCAAAAGCUUCUAGUACCGCAAGCCGAAGGCGAAGAUGAACUUAAAAAACGUCAACUCAUGGAAUUAGCUAUAAUUAAUGGCACUUAUAGGGAUACGUCGGCGAAAAAUGCCAUUCCAGCCUGCGAGGAGGAAUGGCGCCGUGUGAUCGCCGCCUCGGCUGAGAGCCGCCUUUUGGCGCCAGCAUUGCCAACCCUAGCACCACAGAUACGCGCACCGCAGGCCACCACACUGGGCGCCCCCUUGAUACUCUCACAACGCAUGACCGUGCCGACCACAGCGGCGAGCAUACUGUCCGGCCAAGCUGCGCCCGCCGCCUUCGAGAAUCCCGCACACGGCAUGAUUUUCGCACCGUACGGCGACUACGCGAAUUAUGCUGCACUCGCUGCUGGCAAUCCCUUGCUGACGGAAUACACAGAUCAUAGCGCUAACAACUGUGUAUAUACGCCGACGCCACUGUACAUCCCCGCCUACGAUUACAUACGCCUGCCACAUAACGGCAUAAUGCAUGCCAGUAUUGGCAGAAAACAUUCGAAUGCUUCGUCGUCCGUAUCCACCACGUCGGCAUCCUCGUCAUUUAUGCCGGUGGGAUGAAUUGUGUUAAUGAGUGUACGACGAGCGUGUGUGUCAGCCAAUGUGUCGAGCAGCAGCAGCAGCAAGCAAUCAGUCAACUGAACAAGCAGUCAAUUAAGCCACCUAAUGUCAUGUGUCUGCUUGCUUUCACCACACCACCACAUCAUAUCACCAACGUUGCAUACCUUGCGGAACGUAAUUGGGCGCGUAUGCACUAGGUGACAUAACUGAAUUUACGAUGUAACCAACAGUGCACUCACCACCAUCAUUGUGCAACAAAAUAUACUCUACUCUCAGCUGAUUCUUGCUGGAUGAUGGUUUAAUUUUAAGCUGCGUUUGACUGUUAGGUCUCUGAAACGGUCUCGUCGGGUCUUGUCUCCAAGUCAGCAAAUGCUAAAUAUUAAUUUGUGCUGCAUAACAGUAUAUCAAUUCUAACUAGAACUUACAACAAUCAAUCAAACUUAGAAAUUUUUUAGUUUUUAACGCCUUCACGUAAAACGUAGCUCGUUUAAAGUUCGAAUUAGCAGCGCAAAAGCACGCGCAUACAAAUGUAUAUUGAAAAAUAGAAACCUAAGCAGUGCCACCCUGUAUGCGGUGUACGGUAAAUGCGAAUCAGCGAAUCAUUGUAAGCCAUAAUUUUCUAUCAACUCUAAGCUGCGAACAAAAAUCAUGUACUUCUCACAACAGUAGACUCAUGUGAAUCUCAAAAAGUAAGCGGAAUUUUCGAUUCUAAAAAAAUAACAAUUUUUCUUAUAUAAUAUAAUUUUCUAAAAAAAAAAAUAUUUUUAAGUAAAGCUUUUGUGGCAAAGCAUUGUUUAGAUACAAUAAUAUUAUUUAAUAUAUGAUUAAUGAUAAUCACCAGCUACAAAUGCAACAAAUUCAACAAAAACAAAAAACAGUAGAAAAAGGAAAGAAAGCAAGCAAGCGUUAUGCAUAUUAUAGUCAUUCUAGCCAAUCAAGUUAUAACACAGUUUAUAUAAAACAUUUUUUAAGCUGAAAAAUUUCCUAAAAUUCUUUAAAAAGCAGUUAUAUAUAUGUAUAUCUAAC